AUACUUACCCAGCAGGGAAGACACGCUAAUCAAGAAGGUGUUUUUUCACAGUGAGGCUCAUCCCUUGCUGAACCAUGUAAUCUUCCCAAAUGCAGGAAACUUGACUGCACCAUUUGUGGUAAGGUGGGCUAUGUUCACUCUCUUC
rnacentral:snRNA from 1 species